GAAAAUAUCAAAGCAAAGUAAGAAACCCAAAAGCUACCUAAAAAUCCAAAACAGGAAGGGCUUCGCGCAAUCAAUCUCUCUCUGAUGUCCUCUCUCACAAAUCCCUAAUUCAAUUCCACCUAAAAUAUGUAUUGGUUCUUCAAGUCUCUCCAAUCCGACGAUCCAGAUUCUUCAUCUUCUUCUCCAUCAUCUUCACACCCACAUGAUAGCCCCAAGAUUCGUGGCGGAGGAGUUAAACAGGACUUUUCCGUCAUCGGGGAGUCCGUUGGCCGCCAAUUGCGUGGCGUCGCCAACUUUCUGGCUCCGCCUCCGUCACCGCCGUCGUCCUCUUCUCUAGAUAAGUCACUGCCAUCGGAUGAUUCUUCUUCUCUAUCGUCACAGUCGCAAGCUCUCCUUGGGAUCCGAAAUGAUCUUGCUGAAAUAGGAGGUAGCUUAAGGAGUGGUCUGUCUUUACUCUCCAGCAAUAAAGCUGUUAGCGAGAUCUCCAAAUUUACCUCCAGCUUUUUGCAAUUCCAAAGUGAUAAUAAUGAGGAAAAAGAUGAAGAUGAUUAUGUGCCGGGGAUUACAGAGGACGUUAUUGGUUUUGUUCAGGAGAUUUCGAUGAGACCUGAAUGCUGGACUGAUUUUCCAUUGUCACUAGAAAAUGAUUUUAAAAUGUCUGAUGCUCAGAGAGAACAUGCUUCAACUGUUGAGCAAAUGGUUCCUGGUCUUACAGCUCUUAGAGCUAACAUUCAUAGUUAUAUGGAGGAUGAACAAUUUUGGAUGAUAUAUUUUAUAUUGUUACUGCCAAGACUGAAUGAACAUGACUUUGAGAUUCUAUCAACUCCCCAGAUAGUUGAAACAAGAAGUGUACUUCUGCUGCAGCUACAGAACAAGAGAAAUUUGAAGGUGGAGAGCUCUGAGAAUUCUGCUACACGUAAUACAUCACAAGAGGGCAUCUCAGUCCGCGAGAGAGAAGAAGAGAAUAUCUCAUCUAGGGAAAAGGAGGUCACUGACAUUGCAAAUGCAACUGGAAGGUUAGAAAUUGACAAUUACGAGAAUGCGGAUCAAUGGUUGAAAGAGACACAGAUUGAUACUGGCACAAUCCUGGAUAGACAGAAAAGGCUGGAACAUGAAAUUGAAGAGGAUGUGUCCUUCAGUGAUUUGGAGGAUGAUGAUAAUGGUCUAUCAAGUAGACUAUCCGGUUCUAGGCAAGCACAGGACAUUAUCAGGGCUCCUUCACCCACUGAUUGGGUCCAGCUGAAUGAAAGUUCUGGUGCUGGGGGUGGUCCGCAAAAAGCAAGGCAGUCUAUUUCCCGUGAAAAGGAUUCUGAUGGUGAGUCCAAUGAUUGGCUUAAAGUUGAUGAUUUUGAUUAGGGAAUCCAGCGACUUUUUAUUACCGAUUCAUUGUAAAGUUU
rnacentral:misc_RNA from 1 species